rnacentral:lncRNA from 1 species
UCAAAUAAACCAGCACUGUUCAUCGUCGCCUUUAACCGGAGAGUCUCCACCUUCGUCCUUCCACCGUCACUGUUCAUCGUUCCGAUGCCCAGCUCGAUGAUCAGUCAGUUCUCCUGGCCAAGCCGAAGCCGGUGGGGCAGACUGGGGAAGCCCUCAAUAGAAAGGUGUUAACUCCGGAAUGAAUGUCGGUUGACCAGUGGCAACAGCUACGUGGGUAAAGGAGGAAUCUCGCCAUUAUAAGGUGCCCCCACUCCUCUCUUCUCGCUCUUGCAGACGACUUACCAGCAGUGGAGGAUAUGUGUGAAGCAUUCUUAUGGGCAUGACAAGAUGCCUGAAGUCGUAGAUAAGUACGGAGGAAGAGUUUGUCAGGCUUGGACCGCCUUCUAUUUUCUGCAUUCAAGAACUCCAGAGGACGAAGGGUUCCCUCUUCCUCUCGCUUCUCUCGGCUACCGCCGCCCCUAGUAAGAUGGACAGCUAAGCCUCUGACGUUGGGGCCUUUCUUCCCGGGUUCUCGUUAUUCUGUGACCCCUUCACUUAUUUUUUAACGGUAAUUGAGCCAAUGACCAAUAAGACGGCCUUAAUUUAUCCAACAAGCAUUUAAUUCGUUGAUCUUAAAGUGAAGGAAGGGCGGCAUUGGAAAGAGGGCGUCUUCAAGGCCCAAUAACGCAGGUGGCCUUCUAGCAUGAACCUCGGAUGCCUCAAGCCAUCUUGGGCUUCGUUGACUUGCCACCAGUGAGCUGAAUUGGGCUGAGGAGCACGGAAAUUUUGGGAACAUUUUCCAAGGAACCGUGAUGAUAUCGGCCCGUGAUGAAAUGUCUUCUGCCCCGUCGUUUAUUGGGAAUUCAAUUAAAAAUAGGACUUUUAAAAGGAAAUAUAGAAUUUCUAUUCAUAUGAAAAAAAAUGCUGCGAUACCCUUACUAGUUGCAGCCAGAGCUAUCACGCACAUGAUCUUUUGCGGCUACUUCUCGUUUACCCCACGCGGAGCAUUAGUUUGACGCAUGAGAUGAGUGGAACACUAUCCUAUGCAAGGCACGUGAGAUGACUAUCUCUCUAUCUCUACUACC